GAGAACGCUGGGUUGGGGCUUUGAUGUCCACCUCUGUCCCGUUGCAUCUCAUCUAUGGGCCCCUGGUCCCUGUGAAUCCACACCCAGAGUUCCUUCAGCUUUACAAGAAGGUGCCUCCCAUGUCCACAGUGUCUGUGCUGGACGACCACAUCAGCCACUAUCCACAGCUGGAGGAUCCAACAGGCUUCCUGAAUGCUUAUCUCGACUUGAUCAACUCCUUCUGAGCUGCUGCACCUCAGU